rnacentral:rRNA from 1 species
GACGAACGCUGGCGGCGUGCUUAACACAUGCAAGUCGAACGGAAAGGCCCUGCUUUUGUGGGGUGCUCGAGUGGCGAACGGGUGAGUAACACGUGAGUAACCUGCCCUUGACUUUGGGAUAACUUCAGGAAACUGGGGCUAAUACCGGAUAGGAGCUCCUGCUGCAUGGUGGGGGUUGGAAAGUUUCGGCGGUUGGGGAUGGACUCGCGGCUUAUCAGCUUGUUGGUGGGGUAGUGGCUUACCAAGGCUUUGACGGGUAGCCGGCCUGAGAGGGUGACCGGCCACAUUGGGACUGAGAUACGGCCCAGACUCCUACGGGAGGCAGCAGUGGGGAAUAUUGCACAAUGGGCGGAAGCCUGAUGCAGCAACGCCGCGUGGGGGAUGACGGCCUUCGGGUUGUAACCGCUUUCGCCUGUGACGAAGCGUGAGUGACGGUAAUGGGUAAAGAAGCACCGGCUAACUACGUG